rnacentral:lncRNA from 1 species
ACAAGAAAGGCAAUAUGCCUGCGUGCGGGAUCUUCAGUCUUAAUAUCGUCAUUAUCUCCCUCACCACUUUCAAUAUUGCUUCUAGCAUUGCCAUGUAGCAACGGAGACAGCCUACAUCUACUGAUUUUUUUUCUACCUUAUUAGCCACAGCUCUUGCAGCAAUGGGGCACAGACCCACCUGUGGUGAAGGGCAAUACAUGCAGCAAGCAGAAGACAGCAUUCUCAGGGCAGGAACCAGCACCAUAGCAGCAUCCACACUGAUGGGCACCCCAGAAGUGCAGCACUUCCUUCAUGGGCAUCAGGGCCCUCAGGAGGGCAUCGCUCUGCAGAGACUUCCAGAAAUAGUUGCAAGGAGACUUCAGCUUUGAAGAAGCAAGCUUCCAUGAACGUACAGGCACAAGAAAAUGAAUUCUGCCAACAACCCAAGGGAACUGGGAAGAGGGUCUUCUCUAG